UGUACUGUCUUCUUUUUGGUGUCAGGGGCUGGAGAGACUCCUGCAAGAUAUUGAGGCAUUUAGAAUGUAUGGUUCUGUUGCCGUGGUUGUCACCUCCGCUCUACGCCAAAUUUAAGACUCAUUUCUUAAGGAUGUCUCUAUUUUCUGCUUUAUUUGCACAUUGAUGGCUCUGCUGCUCAGCUGGCCACGGCCGCCCGGCGUCUGAGAUAGAAUUGUGUUAAUAUGAGAAAGGGAACGGCCGAUCAUGAUUAGCAGGCAGACGGCAUGCAGAUAGCAUCUGGCGGGUUUUCUCCGUUUUUAUAUGAAAGCGUUCACUUGUUUGCUGGUAAACACGAGGUUUUAACUUUUUAUCUGGGUAGUGGUGACCGUUUGUUUCACUCUCCCCUCCUUUUUACUUCCUAUUCAUUAGCUUUUCCGUUUGGAAAGCUGCAUACUUGUUAGCGGUAGUUUGGUGUCUUGACUCUGAAGCUUUCUCUUCCAGCAGAGGUGGGAUCUGUAUCCCUCCCAUCCUAGGUUACCAAGAAGACUUUUUCUCCCCUUACUUUCUAUUGAAUUUGUGUCUUUCCCAACAUUUAAACUUACACUAGGGAUAAGUUUGCUCGGGUUGUUUUUGACGUAGGACUAUUAAAUAUUCUCAUUUUGAAACUUCCUAAAGGUUUAUUGGUUUGUCAUGUCUGCACCGAUCCAGUUUCGCAUAACUCUUAAAAUUUAAAGCUUUAAAGUACGGUUCGCAAUUGUAUUGUCAAGACAUGGCCCUAGAGCUUGUUCUUCAAGUUUUGGCUGUACAGUUGUCAUUGUUUCAGUCAAGUGCAAAAGAGGUUAUUCCUGUUUAUUUAGUGUUAAUAGCUAUUUACAGUUAAAACUUUAAAGACUCAUAGAAGUAGGUCUGCUGUAUUUUAAAGAUCUCAUCAUUCUUGUGGGAGAGACACAACACCAACACCAGGAAAGGCAACAGAUUGCUUCUGUCAUAUCGCUUUGCUGUUUUGGAGUGUACUUAAAGGAUUAUGAUUGAUAAGGCUGUCUUGCCAGAGAAUGUUGACACAGGUGUGCAUCGUUAUCUUAAUUAAGAUCCUGAGAAAAUGUUGUCUAUAAAUGGUGACAUAAGAAGGGCGGCAUAUUUUUGUACAGUUUUGCUUUUGGAGAAUUUAAUUGCACUUGAAACCUGUCUUUGAGCUUCCAGAUUUUGUGAGCACUUUAGCAACAGAAGUUUUAGAGAGAAAUGAUAGUUUAAUGUUAAGUGUUCUGGCAUGUACUAAUACUACUUGUGGCUUUUUGGCAAUGCCUGUGUCGGCUUUCUUUGUGCUCUACCUUUGUGGAAUAAUGGUUUCUAAUUUUGAAAGAAAAGCAUAAAAUAGAGCAGUAUUUUAUUAAGCAAACACUUGUUAGUGUUCAGAAUAAGUCUGUAGAGGAGGGCAUGCUUAAUGUGCAGAAACAGGAAUAUAAUAAGAGGUGUUAAGUGUGAUGCUUCCAUAAUACAUUUGGAUGCUGUCAGCUAAGUUCACUUCUGAACUAAGGGGUUCCUCCAAAUGUUGGCUGAAAUUCAUCCCAAGGCUGGUCUGCAAAGUCUGCAAUUCAUAAUGGAGCUACUGUACUGGCUAUUGGAAGGAGGAGAUUCUGAAGAUAAGGAGGUAAUAUUAUCUCUUUUAAAAGAAUACUUUCCUCUGUAAUCCUGAAUCUUUAUUACAUGUAAGAACUUUGUGCAGUAGACAGCAAUUUCUUUGAAUUUGGUAUAUGGAAACAAUUUUAUUUUCCUCUGCUAAGUUUUUGAGCCUGCCUCUUCUAGUGCCAUGGACUGCAUUGGUAGAGCUGAGAAAUAUCAUUUAGCCAUACUCAGCACCCUUAAAAUAGCUUCUUUCUGAGAAUUAGAUCUGUGAAGGUGUCCUGCACAGUUCUUGUAGAUGUCAUUUUAGUUUGUGGUUGACGUGCAUGCAUUUAGCAUGUUGCUUAACCGUCCUCAUUCGCCUCCCAGUUCUUUGUUGCCUUCAUUUGGGGGGAUGUGUUUUCUGCUGGAUGAUUUACUGCUAGACAUGACCAAACUCUGAGUAUAAGACUUGGUGUUUGGCAGCUGGUUCCAGUGCUCUGCUGAGAAGUAGUUGGGCCCAGCCUGGGGCAUUGUAGUGUCCUGGAGGCCGGGAGCUCCUGCACAGGGGUUCUUUUCCUGGUUCAGAGCCUUAGGUGCCUUUCCACUUUUCACGUAAUCUUUUCCUAGGUUGGCUUGCUGCUUACUUUGCAGCUGUUGCAGGGAUUCACAUGGAAUGGAGGGCUCCCUUUUAUUGUGGAUUAUUUCUUUGAUAAUUUACCCAUGUGCUUUUUCAUUUUCAAAAACCCAGUGGUGUUUAAGAAUGAAAGAUUCUUGAAGAACAAAAAUUGGGUUAAAUUUGUAUCUAUCAGAAAAGAUUCUAUCCUCUGAUGCUAUGUAGGCACAUUGAAUAUGCAGGCUAAAUUAAAAACAGAGUAAAACCUUUUUAUAAUAUGCCAAUUACUAUAUCUAAGAAUGUUUAUACAGGCUGAAAUUUUGUAAUGGUAUUUAUAUCUGUUUUCCUUUUUAAGGAAAAUAAUAUACUUUUCUAGGCAUCAAAAAUAUCUGCCCCUUUCACUAAUGCUGAUGUACCACCUUCCCCCAACCCCCAACGCUAAAUUUGACUGGCUUAAAAACAUCUGCCCCCUGAACUAUAUCUGGGGAGGAAUAUUAAUAAAACAAUGAAGGACUUCAUGGUGUCUAGUUAUAUAAUUAGGAAAUUGGUUAGAAACGUGGCUAAAACCAGUUUCUUUCAUUAAAAGAACUAGUGUACAUUUAAAAACAAAAACCUUCAGGAAAAAGACUCUUUGAUCUUUAAGUCAAAUAGUAUUUUUGGUUAACACAGCAGGAAGGGGAAAUAUACCAAUUUCAGAUUCUUUUAUUUAUGCCUAAGUAGAGGUUGUAAGCAGCUAAGGAAGUGAUUAAAAUGUAGUCUAGUAAAAAAUGGUGCUGAUUACUUGGAAAGCAGUUUACAUUUGCAAAAAAAUUCAGUAUUAUGACCUUCACCAACUUUUACACAUCAUAUACUUGGGUUAUUACUUAUGGUAUAGCUUGUGUAUGGAAUGCAAGGGUAUUUUCAAAUUGACUAGGUCUUGCUGGUCAUCUUAAAAUAUGUUACAAUAUUACAAAAUUGAAAUGUAAUAUUUUUUAAUAGAAGGAAAAUAUAAAUUUAAUAUCUGGGCAAUUGAGACCUUUAAACUUACUUUAAAAGUAUGAUCUUGAUGUAUAUGAUACUGUUUUGUCUUUGCUAUAUUAACAGAAUUAGAGGGGUGUUCUGCAAUUCAAAUACCUUAUAUAUUCCAAAUUUUAUUCUCUAUAAUGGACUUUUAAAAUAAAAGGUAUAUGUGCUUCAAGAGGGCAAAAUUUGAAUCAUGAGCUAAUUUGCUAAGCAUCAGAUUAUAGAAAAGCAUCCUUGAUUAAUUUGGAACUGUGAAAGGGGGCGGGUAAAACUGUUUUCUGCAGAAAUUUACUAGUGCAGCAACCAUUUAAAUUAAAUGUUUGUUAACAUAAUAGUGAUGGCAUUUUCUCCUCCCCCUCCUUGUGGUUUUGUCCAACUAGAUGUUACAGUGGCAGUUGCACUGACUGUUAAGUGUUUAAAUGAUGACACCAUUAUGUGAAGUGAUUUUGAAAUGAGAGAUUCCAGCCAAGAAUUACAUCUGCUCCCAUCUCCUUCAAAUCAUACUCUCUGGCAGUACAGAUUAUGAUUGAUUUGUUUGUGACAGAUUGCAGGAAACAGUCAUUGAUUUUUCAAUAUUUUACCUUAAAAUUAUUUACAGUUGUAACCAUGGGGAGGUAUUUUCAUGGGCUGUCAGCCCCUGAAAGACUAGGAUAAUAUUCCCUGCUCUCUGACAAGACAAAUUACCUGUAAUGAGUGCAGUAGCUGAAGGGUAUACUUUUAUUUUAAAAUAUGUCAAUAACCCCAGUGACUAAACGAAUAUUGAUUUAGCAUAAUGAAGCCUGAGUAACGUGAAAAUGAGCUUUUUCAAGGGGCAUGGUAAAGUCUUUCUUUUUAGCUGGUUGUAAGAAGCUUUUGAUUCUUUUCAGCCAGCUGGUAGGAAUAUAGAAUUUUAUAAGCAAACCAUCAGGAAUGAUAGUGUUGUUUCUGAUAAGCAACAUCCAAAUAUUUUGACCCUGCUUUUAGUGGUUUUUUUCAAAUCUUAUUUUGAGUCUUACUUUUAGUCAUAGAAUAGCUACUGAUUUGAUGCGGUCUUUAACUGACUUAAUAUUUUUACAAUUUCAAUAUAUUUUGCAUUGGAAUCUCCAGUAAUGAAUAUUAAAAUAUAUGUACAAUCAUUUGUAGAUGAUAUCAAUUAUAUUAAGACAUUUCAGAUGGGCUAUUGUAGUAUUUAAUGUGCCGUAUUUUAUGGUAGAAUAAUUCUCAGUCUCUGGACAUCAAGAUUGCUUUCAGUGGGAAUGAAGAUUAAUUUACUUCAGUCCUGAUUUUUUAGGCAUCAAUGCAUGUUUUCAUUUUUGUCAGACUUUUACCCUCUUUUAAUGUAAUUCUCAACUUCUUAUGGAUUUACUUCCCAAUACAUAAAAUCCUUCAAAACAAGAAUGAUAAUAAUUUUUAUACUUUUUAUAAAAAUAAAUUUAUUUUUAGUCCAUCAAGGUGUCUGAAGAUUUUAUGCCUAGGUAUCUCCAUAUCUAACUUGAUAAGGAAAAUAGGAUAAACAAUGCUGGUAAUAGCAGGAAAGUAAGUAUUUGAAUAAGAUGUCAAACUGAUAUUUCAUGUGAACCUAACUCAUUUUAUGGUAACUAAUAAUUAUCUUAUUUAAAUCAAUAGGUAAAACCUGUUUAGAAAUUAAAAAUGAGUUACGAUUUAAAGAAAAUUCAGAUGACUCAUUGUGAGUGCUAGUUCUCUUGUAGGAUGCCACUGGAAAUGUUGAAAUGAAAAAUGUAAGUAUAUCUUUUGGUGGAAAAAAGGAUAGUCUCUAGGACACAAAAUUACUGUUUUAUUUUUUUCUCAGGAGUUUGCCUAAGGGUGUGACAGAUGAUCUCUGUCACUUGUCUUAGUUGUGUCCUGCAAUAAACUGGAUGCUUUAUAAAAUACUAGACCUGUGAUUUCGUAUGCUGUAAUAUUUCAUUUCUCCAUCACCCCUCCAAAUUAUUUCUUAGUUUGGAGUAAAAUAAUAAAUGUAUUAUAGUCAACAUCUCUUGACCCCUCUUUAGUUUCAGCUAAACUAAGCAUGUGUGUUUGUGUGUUCAUUUUAUAGUUCAUGUGUAGAACUAUGUGAAUUAAAUUUAAGAAACAUGUAAAGUAGAGGAAAUAGUUUUCUGGAGAAAUUUUUCCUUUUUGGAUAUUAUGCCCUUUUCCAUUGCUUUUCUCUGCUUGAAAGCAAAAAAAAGUACCCUACCCCUGUUCUCCUUUAGGGAAAAACUAUUCCUAUAAAGUAUUUUUAAAUCGUGCAAGUCAUUGCCUAGGGUUAGCUAAAACAUUUCUUUUUAAAAAGGAGAAAAUGCCCUGGCUUUAACAUUUUCUUGUAUUUGUAUCUAUUAAGAUAAACAGUUUACUUUGAUACAGUACAUACCAAUCUACUUAAUUUUUUUUCCAGGAUUCCUUUUACUAUGUUUGGUCUGACCUUUUAUGAUAACUUAAUAUGGGAACAAAUUAGCAUAUAAUUCUAUUUUCCAUGUGACCUCAACCAGUUGCAGAAUUGUACCACUACUUUAGGGGGGGCAAUUUGACAGUUUAUGUAGACUAUAGCAUUAAUUGUUCCCAAAUGUUCAGUGCAUCCUGGCUAAUGUGUUAUUGAAGGUGUUUUCACGUAAGCAGUUAGAGGAAGCACUUCACCCCUAUUACUAAGUUAUUAAAAUGCCUCCUAAAGGUAGCAUUUUAAAUUAGUAUACAUAAUUGAUUAGUAAUUUGUCUUCUCCCAAGCAUAAAACAGCAUAGCAGAGUUAAGUGUGACCAGUGAAGUAUAAGAUAUUAGGGAUUGAUGGUGACAAUGAUCAUAGCAACUAAAUGGAUUUUUUUUUUCUUUUAGAUUCAGCCGUUGGUCUUUGAAAUUUCCUGUGAUGUGUUUCAAUCUAGAUGCAAAGAACAUGGAAAAAUCAAAGUGCUCGAGUGGUUUAAAUAUGUUUUGGGUAUUCCUGUUUAUAGACUAUAAUACUUUUCCAAUUAAAAUCCUCAGUUGUCACGCAGAAGAAGGCUUUUGAAGCUGGAGAAGACUUGUUUUUCACAUGAGGAAACUGAGUCCCAGCAAGGUGAAAUGACUUGCUACAACUUCGUCUUUUCUCAUUGGACCUUGAGAACAAUGCAGAGAUUGCAUUGUCCCCCAUGUCAGAGCCAGGAGAUCAGGGGUGCAGACGUGUGAAGUGACCCAUCCUAGAUCCCACCGCUGUUCGCAUUCUCAAGUUUGAGCUUAGAUCCUCUGCUUCCAAGCGUGAUUAAUUUCACUUUCUGUGUCUUACUCCAUGAGCCCUAAUGCUUCUGCUGAGAUUCCUAAUUCAGUGAAACCUGUUUAGGGGAUCAUCUCUGUUAGGCAGACAGCUGCUGAAAAGGCAUUCACUUUCCAAGCAUGGAUUUUAGAUUAUGGCCAAUCAAGACUCCGGCCUGGAAGAACACCUGUCAGAGACGUUUUUCUACAAGGAGAUGGUCUCUUUAAUCAUAUUUCAUUGUACUUCAGAAAAAGGUUCGUUUUAAAAUGGAGCAAAGUUUGUCAUCUUGAUACACUAGAUCUUUGAUGAUAUCAAUAAGGAAACAUCCACACCCUUUGGUUAAAAGACUCUGAGACUUCAAGGACUGCUGGCUGUUCAGAAGAGGCUGUGGUGGUUCAAGUGAGGCUCAAGGCUGUAGUUAUACCAAUCUGUUACUCCAUGAAGAGUCCAAGGCUGCUGAACAGAGUGAACCUCAGAACAGAUAGCAGUGGCACCUAGAAGAUAUAAUCUCAACAGCAGAUGAGUUAUUGAGGGAUGAUUGCUGAUUAUGGAUUCCUCUUCAUCUCUCUUAACUUAUAUUCCAAGCUGUUAACCUAGAAUAAAUCCUACUAUAUCUAAUUAAUGCAUUAAUCAAACUUUGUUUUGAAUGGAAGGGGGGAGAAUAUGUUGAUUACCCCGGCUAGUGGGAUACAAAAUAUACCUAAAGCAGAAUAUCUUUCUCCAUCAUGAAUAACAUUAAUCUCUGCAGUUCUUACAAGUGAAUAAUUAUUAUAUAGUUUGUUUCCUAUUUGUCUGGCUUGGUAUUUAUCCUUUAUGAGUUUCCAGGUGACAAUUUGUUUCAGGAAGAAUUCUCCAGAAACAAUUUUUUAAGAUUAUCGUCAAAUUCCUUAAUAAAGAGUUGAAAGCCAAACUCACUAGGUGAAAUGCAACAACAACCAAUGGGCAACAGACUGAUCUCCAACUUCCUGAAUUCUUUUUUUUUUUUUUUUUUUGAGACAGGGUCUCUCUCUGUCGAUCAGGCUGGAGUGCAGUGGCUCAAUCUUGGCUCACUGCAGCCUCCACCUCCCAGGCCCAAGCAAUCCCGAGUAGUAGGGACUCAGGCACGCACCACGACACCUGGCUAAUUUUUUGUAUUUUUGGUAGAGAGAGGGUUUCACCAUGUUGCCCAGGCUGGUCUUGAGCUCCUGAGCUCAAAGUAUUUGCUUGCCUCAGCCUCCCAAAGUGCUGGGGUUACAGGCGUGAGCCACCGUGCCAGGCCUUUAAUUCUUAAUUGCCGCCAGGAUUGAUUGGUAAGGCUGUAGAAGAGUUGCUGUCCAUUCCAAGUCUUCCCAUCUGAAGCAACCACCAUGCCACAGCCUUAUUCUGUCCCAUGGCUGUUUUGUGCAUCUCCAAGUGUACCAGUGUGAGGCCCUCAAACACACCCAUGCCCUCUGAUGAAAUAAUGUUGGUCGUGAUAACCACAGGGAUGUCACAGCCGCCGUUCCACACUCUAACUAAUUCUUAUUUUGUUCCAACAACAACAAUUUGAAAUGGGAAGAACCACCCCAUUUUAGACAUUUCAAAACGAGGGCUUGGAUAGAUUAUGUACCUUGUCCAAGGUCACACAACCAAAUGGCAAGGUACGGACUCAACCUAGUUCCAUCUGCCUCCAGUCCAAAACCCAGAGCUCUCAACUGCCACCCUCAUUGUCUCUACUAGAUACGGGCUUCCCUGCGGUAACUGUUGAGGCUGGAAAACACAGGCCUGAGAGAACUUUUAAAUAUGAAAUGAUAACUCUUUGCCUACUGAGAUUCUUAUUUUUAAAAACCCAGAGGAAGAUCAUAUUUAUAUAUUUAUUCAACAUUCACGUAUGAUAUUUAGAUUUACAAAAUGCUUUAUAGUGUAACAGAAUGGGCAGAAAUUUUUACUCGGGCUUAUAAUUGUCUUUUCUUUCAUAUUCAUUUAUUCCUUUGAUUUAUAUAAUGUGUUCUCUGCUUGGUCUUCUGAGAUUACGUACAAUGGUAACAAAUCGAAAAUAAUAUUAAUAAAAGAUUAUUUUGUAUCACUCACAGGGAAAACUGACUGGGGCCAUGCGCCUCUCUGUUCUUUAGAAACGUUAUGCGAGAGAACAUAAUAUUGUCCCCAGAAUACUGUCUGUAAUGCCGGCUAUGCUUAUUCGUGGUGCUUUAAAAAUAAAUUUAACUCCUGUUCUUCAUUUUGUGUGUGUGUGUGUGUUAUUUACUUCCUUCUCUUCAGGUGGCUGGGGUGCUUCACAGCUAUAAUGAACUGCUGUGAGCAUCACCUGAAGUCGCCAAACUACUUUCUUCACUGAUCAUUGAGCAUGA
rnacentral:lncRNA from 1 species